rnacentral:rRNA from 1 species
UACGGAGGGUGCAAGCGUUGCUCGGAAUUACUGGGCGUAAAGCGUGCGUAGACGGUUAUUUAAGUCGGGUGUGAAAGCCCCGGGCUCAACCUGGGAAUUGCAUUCGAGACUGAAUAGCUAGGGUACGGUAGAGGGAAGUGGAAUUUCCGGUGUAGCGGUGAAAUGCGUAGAUAUCGGAAGGAACAUCAGUGGCGAAAGCGACUUCCUGGACCAGUACCGACGUUCAGGCACGAAAGCGUGGGGAGCAAACAGG